ensembl:lncRNA
AUGUCAGCAUCACCUUUACAUGCCAGGAACAAAUUAUUACAGAAGACCAUACCUAGAACACCCAGCUGGAAGUUAAUGAAUCAGGGAGGAAGACUAAUGACACUGAGUGGUACAUUCCUCCGAAGCAGGGACCGCGUCCAUUCUCCUUCGGGUGGGAGUGGAAGUGCUCUGCGCACAGUGGGCACGCUGCUGAUAAGGCUGUCUAGUCAGUCCCCACGGGGAGAGGCCGGCGCAGCAGAGGAGAACGGCAUAGGCUGGGUCGGACCCGCACUGCAGCAUCUGCGGGGCUCCGACCUGGGACAGACCUCCAAGGCCGGGGGCGAGCAGCAGCAGAGCCGGUGGCGGCGAUCUUCCGGGCCAUUCCCUCCCCCCUACCCCUCCCCUCCCGCCCGCGACCUUCGACCUCCAUCCCGGACCCACGGGGAACUGGCCCGGGGACAAGGAAGAGACGUUAAAGGGAUACCAUCGUCUAGUCAUCCACGGGCCGCCUGGAGUUUUCCCAGGAUUUGCGGCGCGCACUCGCCUCCCCCGCCCACACAGACUUGCUCUCCAGCGCCAACCCGGAUCUGCCUAGGUGCCCACGGGUCCUUCCCGAUCGACUUGAGUGUCCUUCCUCCAGCUCUUGCUUUCCCAGCAUCGAAAACACAAAAGCCUGCCGGAAAUCACCCAGCCUUUGCCUGGUCACUCAGGAGCCCACGGAUAAGCGUGGCUCUGAUUCCUCCAGGUCAGCCCCACGGUUCGCCACCUACCCGAGUUAAUUUCUGCGCCCGCUGACCAAAGGCCCCAACUGGCAACGGGCACAGCUUCUUGGUGCGCUAGUCGCUUCCUUGCCCAGCCUUUCAAGCCUCAGGUCCGGCCCAGGGACCCGGGGACGUGAGCGCAAUUAGUAGCCGGGAGUCCUGCGACCCUGGACCGCGCAGUGCUAAGGCACCCGGCCGGCUAUGCGAGCGGUGUACUCGGCUCUUACUUGUGAAACUUGUUUUCCCCAAUCCCCUGCGUAAAUCUCUCGUGUUGAGAAAAGCAAGGCUUGCAGGAAGCCACUCCGGAUGUUUGCUGCUUUACAUGUGGCAUUUGUGGCUGGCUCUGAUAACGUCCCGGGGCACCAUGUAUUAAAGUGAAGAGACUGAAAUAGAAGGCUCCACACACCGCGCGCGGGUCAGCGACGUCGCCGCCCUCCACACUGCCCCCCGAAAAUAAAUGACAAGCGAAUGAUCAGAAGAAAUGAGAUCUAACUGGGUCACAGUAUGUAAAAGGGACUAGAGUUGGAAGACCACCACAAUUCUCCCCUGUAAAUUUGUAAACUGUGAAUUUAUGAUCCCAGGGAGGGUGUUAUAAGAAGUAGGGGGAGGGGCGCCAAAAUCUACUCCAACCUAUGUUGUGUACUUUCACCUGAUUUCUCUUACCCGACCAAGAUCUGUCCCAAGGAACAAGGGCGAAUAAAAAUAGGGAAACUCGAACGGGCUUGGUGGCUCACGCCUGUAAUCCCAGCACUUUGGGAGGCCAAGGCGGGCGGAUCACCUGAGGUCAGGAGUUUGAGACCAGCCUGACCAAUAUGAUGAAACUCCAUCUCUACUAAAAAUACAAAAAUUAGCCGGGCGUGGUGGCUUGCGUCUGUAAUCCCAGCUACUCUGGAGGCUGAGGCAGGAGAAUCGCUUGAAUCGGCGAGGUGGAGGUUGCCAGCCGAGAUCGUGGCAUUGCACUCCAGCCUGGACAACAAGAGGGAAAUUCCGUCUCAAUAAAUAAAUAAGUAAAUAAAUCAAUAAAAUAUGGAAAUCCCACGUUUUCUUCCCCAUCAUUUUCUCCACCUUCUUGGCUCCCAAGCGCACCUCUCCAGAUAAUGAGCUGGGUGAGGAAGAGCAUGAGGAUGAAGAAAGUGUACAGGGCUAAAUCUGUGCAUGUACAUUUUUUGGACUCACACCUGGAUUGUAUUUCCUGUAGUGUUUUUUAAGGAAUUAGUCAAACAGAUUAGACAGAUAAAAAUGAAUUCUGGAUCAGACAUUGUUUUUAAUUUUCAAUGUUUAUUCUAGGAAAACUCCUUAGCUCAUAAAAGAUUUUGUGUUAAGAGAAAAUUCUGCUUUGAGAUCUUUGAAAAAUAUGUAUUAUUAUCCAGAAAAGUUAGCAAAGAUAUUUAAAAAAAAAAAACCUAGCAAAAAACAAGGUACCACGGGCUUAAUUUGUAGAUUGCUCUCUCUCCUCCUGUAGUUUUGUUGCUUAAUAAUUUUCAAUGUGCUUUUGCUUUAUUCUGAAGCCCAUUUUUUUCCAGAAAAAAAGCUUUAAAAGAAAAGUACACCAUCAUUUAAAUUUGUCUAAAAUCAACUGCUUUCAAAACUACCAAGUAAAAGUAACAUCCCUCUAUGAUUUCUUUAUGCAGAUUUUUUUUUCUUGUUUGAAUCUUAGAGACCCAGGAACUAGAAACACUUUCUUAACUUGUCCUCUAGUCAAGACUUCACAGAUACUUGCAUAAUUAAAUAUAAGUUGGCUUAAAACAAUUGUGUAAGAGUUCUUUUGAGAAAAAGCAAUGCCAGAGAAACUGAAGGCCAGGAGUUUGCAAAAGUUUUGUAUUUUUGUGGAUGCCACUAAAAGCAAGACUGGACAGACAGUCUUGUUGUAGUAUCACACUCAAAGCAGCAGCAUUUUACUUCUCGGAUCCCAGGUGUAAGCUCUACUUUUUUAUCACGCCUUCAUAAUAAAGAAAGUCUGUUCUGGAGAUUGGUAUAUUGAUUUCUUUGCAAAGUCAUCUCUAAUUAUGCAGGAAUGGCUGUUGGUUGCCCUCAAAAACCAACACAAAUACACAAACACACCAGCCUCUCUUAGUGAUUAAGAGCUGCAAGUCUGAAGGCAGACUGCUGGGUGUGAAUUCCACCUUCUCAAUACCGUAGUCUCCAGCAAGUUCCUUAACUUCUCUGCCUCAGUUUCCUCUCCUGUAAGAUAGAGUCUACCUCAGGGUUACUAUGAGGAUACACUCCUUUGCUAAUGCCGGAGCGCGCUACGAAUAGCAGUGGCAGGCUGUGUCAUUUCUUAGCGCUGUACAAGGGCUUGUUUUAAAAGUCUCACUGAAAACUUUUUUUUUCCAGAUCGAAAC